CCUUAUCCCUUUUUCUGCCGCCGUCCUGCGCGGGUUCCCCGCUGGCGGCUGGCCGCACCUUACCACCCACGUCCGACCAUCCUCCGCCCAAGUAGAUAGGAAGAAGCGAGGAGGGACGUAUCCGACUGCGGCACCUAGGAGAGGUGGACCAGGGGAGACGCAUCUCCCCGGCAAGCACGGGAAUACUGCUGUGAUUCAAACAGGGUGACGGGCCGCCGGCGGCGCCGCCCGAGUACACAGCCUACAUCGCCCACGGUCGGCGCUCAGUUUCACGCCCAUCGCCACCGGCGACCUCUCGGGAAACGGCCAGACGGUGGGAGUUUAGGACACCACUGCCGAUGCGGCCAUAACCUGGGCUUCUCCUUAUCCACAUCCCGGCGGUUGGCUCUGCUUCUUCUCCAGUGAUCGUUGCAAUAUCUACCUCUAGAUACCUAGGCAGGUGAGGUAUGUCGCUGUCCAUUUAUUCCAUUAAUCCAUUCUCCCCUGUUCCGGCUUUUUAUCAUGAAUACGCAGAUUUAGAUUAGGUGAUGUGGUACUUUGAUCGUUUGAUGACGAGUACUCUAAUUACUGUGAUUGUGUGAUCCUGAUACUGUAUUUUGUUUCCUCGAAGUUUAAUGUUUGAGACUUGGAGCUUUAUAGCUUAUUGUUGAUACUGGUUUGUGACUUGGAUUGCAAAUAUGUGUCUCGUAGCUUGUUGCUGCUGUUGGAGCACUAAACACUUGGUCUUGGACAUCAUAGCCACCCCACCAUUACCUUGGACGCUACUUCAAAUCCUGGCGGCACAAAAUUUUAGUGGAAACACAAGGUAACAAAUCUUGCAACCUGGAUGUGAUGGUUUUAUUUGUUUAUUCUGUUAUCCCUUGAUUAGGGAACCUGAUACUUUUUGGAAUCAACUGAAAAGAAAUAUAAGAUUCUGUUAUCUAUUGGCUUGAUUCUAUUAUCACCAUAUUAGUUGAUGAGAAUCCUCUUAAACCACGUCUCCUUGUCAAGUUCUGAAACUUAUUUAUCACUCCCACUUUAGAACGGAACCUCGUUGCCAAGUGGCAACUGAUUCAUAGUAAAUUGCCCUCUGACACCCAAUAGAAUAGGUUGUUGUUGUUUUUUUAUUUCACCAAUGAGCUAUUUUAAAACAGGCAAAUAUCAGUGACAAAAUUAAUGCAAAAAUAUGCCCUUAGACCGAUGUGGCAUGCAUGUAACAUAGUUAACUGCUCGACAAGAAUUGAGCCAAUCGAACGUCUAUAGACGACAAAGCGCCAUGGGGGCUCGUAGGUCACCCAAUUACUGGUUCUUAAUUUCCUGGCCCCCUUGUGUUUCUUUCUAGCUUGUGCAGUUAUGCAUAUAUGUGCUCAAUCAUACAUGUCAUCUCUACCAUAAAGCACCAAGUUCACAUUAUAUUAUAAUUACCAUCCACAUAUGAUUUAGUUUAACUUCUUCUGAUUUGUAAUGAACUUCUAGUUGAAUCCUUUAUUGAAUCUUAUUUUUUAGGAAAUUUGCAAGUGGGGAUUAGAAAUAUUAUUCUAAACUGAAUGAAGAAGCUAUGCACCUUUUUUGUGAACUUUUAUAGGCUUGCAUAGUUUUUGCUCUUCGACAAUGAACCUUGUAAAAUUUCAAAAAAUUCUUACUAAGAUAAUUAAGCUUCAUGUAUGACAGAUUUUCAUUAGGAAUAGAUACUUCUUUUGUCAAAGAAGUACCAUGUCAGAUUUACCAUCUUGUAAAAUCAACUGCGAUGGGGCGUUCCCUGCACCUGAGGGCACUAGUGGUGGUGGCUGGGGCUUCGUCAUACAACACUUGCCAGGAGAUGUGAGAGGCUCUGGAACGGGGCGCCUUCGACAUGUAGCAAGUGCUCUUCAAGCGGAAGCGAGGGCAUGCAGUGCUGCUUUGCAAGCGGCCUCCUGACGGGGUAUGAAAAAUGUGGAGGUCGAGUCUAAUUACCAGACACUGAUAAAAGCGCUCCAAUGUUCAGUUUAUGACAGGGCACCAGAAGGAAUUUUAUUCACAGAGAUUUGGGACUUCGCUCGUCUAAGUUUCAGUGCUUGCAUGUUUUCUACUGCCCCCAAGGCAUGUAAUAACUUGGUGCACGCUCUUGCAGCUUUUGGUGCCUCUCAACAGGCAGACCUACAUCUGUGGUUAGAGGACCUGCCUGACAAGGUACUUGUUCAACGGGACAGCGCUUUGGCUACGGAGUAUGGAAAAGUACUGUACUAGACUACCAAUUAGUGCUUGAUUGAUGCUAUAGUUGUAUGAUUGUACAGUUCAGAACUUAAGCUCUCGUUCAUUAGUGGUCUUGCGCUCCUUCGUGAGUACUGAUCUCAAAUAUUCAAAUUUUUAUGGUCAUUUUAAAGUUGUGCAUUUGGCAUGUGUGAUUGUCGAGUCAUCCAGAACUUUGCGUAAAAUAUGGUUGAUAUGAUAUCCAUUGCAACUAUACCGAAAUAGUUUGGUAUUUAGUUUACCAACCAAAUGGUAUUGUUUUUCAUACCAUAUUGACCAAAGAAUGUAAACCGGAUUUACUAGGGAAAAACUAUUGAUACAAAGAUAUGUUGCACAUGGAACCGGAUUUUCUAGGGAAAAGGUAUUGAUACAAAGAUAUGUUGCACAUGGGCCCUGUGUCAGGGUGUUGGUGAUUGUUUUUUGUUUUUCUUAUUUCUCCCAAUAACAGAGCUUGUAACACUAUGUAUGGA
rnacentral:lncRNA from 1 species